AAAUGAAUAGACGGGGGCCCGCACAAGCGGUGGAGCAUGUGGUUUAAUUCGACGCAACGCGAAGAACCUUACCAGGAUUUGACAUCCUCUGACGACUACAGAGAUGUAGUUUUCGAUCUUCGGAUUGACAGAGAGACAGGUGGUGCAUGGUUGUCGUCAGCUCGUGUCGUGAGAUGUUGGGUUAAGUCCCGCAACGAGCGCAACCCUUAUUCUUAGUUGCCAGCAUAUAACGAUGGGCACUCUAAGGAGACUGCCGGUGACAAACCGGAGGAAGGUGGGGAUGACGUCAAAUCAUCAUGCCCUUUAUGUCCUGGGCUACACACGUGCUACAAUGGCCUGUACAACGGGUAGCGAAGCCGCGAGGUGGAGCCAAUCCCCAAAAGCAGGUCUCAGUUCGGAUUGCAGGCUGCAACUCGCCUGCAUGAAGUAGGAAUCGCUAGUAAUCGCGGAUCAGCAUGCCGCGGUGAAUACGUUCCCGGGCCUUGUACACACCGCCCGU
rnacentral:rRNA from 1 species